rnacentral:tRNA from 1 species
GCGGAUAUAGUUUAAAGGUAGAACAGCUGUAUGUGGCACAGUAUAUCCUUGUUCAAAUCAAGGUUUCCCCC